UGCAGUGAAAUGUGUUGUUUUACAGGGUCAGUCAUAGUAGUAUGAUAGGUGUUGUUUUACAGGGUCAGUCAUAGUAGUAUGAUAGGUGUUGUUUUACAGGGUCAGCCAUAGUAGUAUGAUAGGUGUUGUUUUACAGGGUCAGUCAUAGUAGUAUGAUAGGUGUUGUUUUACAGGGUCAGUCAUAGUAGUAUGAUAGGUGUUGUUUUACAGGGUCAGUCAUAGUAGUAUGAUAGGUGUUGUUUUACAGGGUCAGUCAUAGUAGUGUGAUAGGUGUUGUUUUACAGGGUCAGUCAUAGUAGUAUGAUAGGUGUUGUUUUACAGGGUCAGCCAUAGUAGUAUGAUAGGUGUUGUUUUACAGGGUCAGUCAUAGUAGUAUGAUAGGUGUUGUUUUACAGGGUCAGCCAUAGUAGUAUGAUAGGUGUUGUUUUACAGGGUCAGUCAUAGUAGUAUGAUAGGUGUUGUUUUACAGGGUCAGUCAUAGUAGUAUGAUAGGUGUUGUUUUACAGGGUCAGCCAUAGUAGUAUGAUAGGUGUUGUUUUACAGGGUCAGUCAUAGUAGUAUGAUAGGUGUUGUUUUACAGGGUCAGUCAUAGUAGUAUGAUAGGUGUUGUUUUACAGGGUCAGUCAUAGUAGUGUGAUAGGUGUUGUUUUACAGGGUCAGUCAUAGUAGUAUGAUAGGUGUUGUUUUACAGGGUCAGUCAUAGUAGUAUGAUAGGUGUUGUUUACAGGGUCAGUCAUAGUAGUAUGAUAGGUGUUGUUUUACAGGGUCAGUCAUAGUAGUAUGAUAGGUGUUGUUUUACAGGGUCAGUCAUAGUAGUAUGAUAGGUGUUGUUUUACAGGGUCAGUCAUAGUAGUAUGAUAGGUGUUGUUUUACAGGGUCAGUCAUAGUAGUGUGAUAGGUGUUGUUUUACAGGGUCAGUCAUAGUAGUAUGAUAGGUGUUGUUUUACAGGGUCAGUCAUGGUAGUAUGAUAGGUGUUGUUUUACAGGGUCAGUCAUAGUAGUAUGAUAGGUGUUGUUUUACAGGGUCAGUCAUAGUAGUAUGAUAGGUGUUGUUUUACAGGGUCAGUCAUAGUAGUAUGAUAGGUGUUGUUUACAGGGUCAGUCAUAGUAGUAUGAUAGGUGUU